rnacentral:lncRNA from 1 species
CAUUUGUGUGCCUGUGUGUGUAGUGCGUGCAUGUGUGUAUAUGUGUAUGUAGUGUGUAUAUAUGUAUAUGCCUGCAUAUGCGUAUGUAUGUGUGUGUGUGUUCAUACUAUUUGUGAAAACAUCAGAGGGAGAUGUACACUGGUACAAGGGAAAUCGCUGGGAAGAGAGUCCCCCACGUGCCUGGAAGCCUGUGGACAGAGGAUGGAGAACUCGGAGUCUCCUUUGUGCCUGGGUUUCCCAUGGGCCCUGCCCGAGGAGAGGGUGCCCCAAGCCUGAGGCGCUCUCCCUGCCUGCCUGCUCUGUGGCGCUGUGGGGCACAGUCCUGAGGCUGCAAGAAGGCGCUGGCUGCUCCGCGCCUAAUCACGGCGUCCUCCCUCCCUGGACCCCUCACCUGCGUUCCUGCCUCCACCCUGGGCCUGAGUCGCGCCCCUGCCCUGCCCAGGGCUGGGAGUCGCUCCCAAAUCGGAGCUCAUCCUCUGUGCCUCCUCCGGAACCUGCGUGUCCGUGCCUCCCGUGCCCCUCCAGUCUCAGGUGGGCUUAGAAGAAGCAGAUGCCCUGAUUCCAGCCAUGGAGACCUGAGGUUGCCUCUGCAAUGCCUGGAAUUUUGGCAGCCAUCUUGGGAUCAUGAGAAAAGUCAGCCUGAAGGAAACGUGCUGAGAAGGACAAAGGAGAAAGGUGGGAGGUUCUGGGACCUGUGGCUUCUCCUAUCAUCCUACUGGGGAGGGUGAUAAAGUCUCUUAGCUAAGCCAUGUUAAUUUGGGUUUUCGGCUGCUUGCAGCCAAAAAUUUAGCCCAACUGACAUGCAGACGGAGGAUGACGAGCCAAUACCCAGCCUCUCUGUCUGCAACACUCCUUGUCCUCCUGCAACUCACCUCUUUUCACUUCUCCUCUGAAAAGCCUGGCGUUUUCUUCUAUCCUACUUUCUGCAGGCGAAGGGCCUGAAAGUGGCUGUGGGAAGCUUCUUUGGUCUAUUCCCUCUCCUGAGAGUCCACGAAAUGUGAGAUGGGGGUCACUUCUCAGCUGAGUGUGCCCCCCAGUGACUGCUGGGCUCCAGCUUCUCCUGCAUGCAGCAAGGCUUGGAAGCCCCUCAGCCCCGCCACACUCUACUCACCUUCAUCCAGUGCAGCUACACAGGGCAUGGUCCAGCCACAAGCUCAUCUGUUCCAGACACCACCCGAGGCCCCUCAAUCUGACCACAUCUAGAUCAGAGGCUGCCAAGGAGGCUCAAGACUGCAUAGACUUGAAUGGCAGGGGACAAGCUCAGGAUGGCCUGAGACCUGAUUUUAUUUUUUAUGGGACUAUGUAGUGUACAAUGUGAUGUUUUGAUAUAAGUAUGCAUUUUGAAAUGAUUACAUUGGGCCAAUUAAGUUUUUGAUCACUUCACAUACUUAUCAUUUUGGGGGGGUGCUGAGUGCAUUUAGGAUCUACUUUCAGUAAUUUUCAAGUGUACAUACAUUAUUAUUAACUAAUAAUGCACCUUAUAUACCAUUCCAUAAAAUAGAUCUCCAGAACUUAUUUAUCCUGUCUCUUUGACCAACAUCUCCCUAUCCUCCUCAUCCCCUAGUCCCUAGCAAUGACCAUUGUUCUCUCUGCUUCUAUAAGGUCAACUUUUUAGAUUCCACAUAUAAGUGAGGUCAUGUAGUAUUUGUUUUUCUGUUACUGACUUAUUUCACUUAGCGCGAUGUCCUCCAGGUUCAUCUAUGGCAGGAUUUUCUUCUUUUUUAGGUCCGCAUUGUACCAUGUGUCUAUUUUCCAUGUUUUCUUUAUCCAUUCAUCUGUUGAUGGAUACUUAGGUUGAUUUCAUAUCUUGGCUAUUGUGAACAAUGCUACAAUGAAUGAGGGUAGAUAUCUCUUCACCAUAUUGAUUUCACUUCCUUUGGGCAUAUACCUGGAAAUGAGAUUGUCGGAUCAAAUAGUAGUUCUAUUCUUAGUUUUCGAGAAAACUCUAAACUAUUUUCAAUAAUGGCUGUACUAAUUCACUGUUGUUCAUCAACAGUGUACAAGGGUUCCCUUUUCUCCAUAUCAUUGCUAGUACCUGUUAUCUUUUAUCUUUUUUAUAAUAGCCGUUCUAACAGGUGUGAGAUGAUAUCUCAUCUUAGUUGUCAUUUGCAUUUUCCUGAUUAGUGAUGUUGAGUACUUUUCAUACACCUCUUGACCAUUUUUAUGUCCCUUUUGAGAAAUGCCUAUUCAGAUCCUUCAGCCACUUUUAAAUCAAGCUAUUAGUUUUCUUGUUAUUGAGUUAUUUGAAUUCCUUAUGUAUUUUGGAUAUUAAUUCAUUAUCAGAUAUAGAGUUUGCAAAUAUUUUCUCCUAUUCCAUAGCUUGCCUCUUCACUCUGUUGAUUGUUUCCUUUCCUGUGCAGAAGCUAUUAAGUUCAAUGCAAUUUCUUUGAUCUAUUUUACUUAUGUUUUCUGUGCCAUUGGGGCCAUAUCCAAAAAAAUCCUUUUCCAGACCAGGACCCUGGAGCUUUCCCCCUGUUUUCUUCUAGUAGUUUUACAGUUUCAGAUCUUACAUUAAGUUUUUGAUUCAUCUUAAAUUGAUUUUUGUAUGUGGUAUGAGAUGAGGGUCUAAUUUUAUUCUUUUGCAUAUGGAUUUCACAGCAUCAUUUAUUGAAGAAACUGUUCAUUCUCUAUUUUAUGUUCUUGGCAACUUUGUCAAAGAUCAAUUGACCACAAAUGCAUGAAGUUAUGUCUGGGAUCUUUAUUCUUUCCAUUGGCAUCUGUAUCUCUUUUUAUGCCACUAACAUGCUGUUUUGAUUACUAUAGCUUUUUAGUAUAUUUUGAAAUCAGGUGCUGUGAUGUUUCCAGCUUUGUUUUUAUUCCCUCAAGAUUGUUUUGGCUCUUUCGGGUCCAUACAAAUUUUAAGAUUUUUCUUUCCCUUUCUGUGAAAAAUGACACUGGGAUCCUUGCAGGGAUUGAAUUGAAUCUGUAGAUUGCUUGGGUAGUUUGGACAUUUUAACAAUAUUAAUUUUUCCAAAGCAUGGACCAACUAUCCUUCCAUUUAUUCAUGUC